UCAAAAGAGAAAGACAAACUUUCUUCCCCUGCCCCCAAAGCAGGGAUUUUCCAUUAAACUAUCUUCUG
rnacentral:tRNA from 1 species